rnacentral:rRNA from 1 species
AUUGAACGCUGGCGGCAGGCCUAACACAUGCAAGUCGAGCGGCAGCGGAAAGUAGCUUGCUACUUUGCCGGCGAGCGGCGGACGGGUGAGUAAUGUCUGGGAAACUGCCUGAUGGAGGGGGAUAACUACUGGAAACGGUAGCUAAUACCGCAUAACGUCGCAAGACCAAAGAGGGGGACCUUCGGGCCUCUUGCCAUCAGAUGUGCCCAGAUGGGAUUAGCUAGUAGGUGGGGUAACGGCUCACCUAGGCGACGAUCCCUAGCUGGUCUGAGAGGAUGACCAGCCACACUGGAACUGAGACACGGUCCAGACUCCUACGGGAGGCAGCAGUGGGGAAUAUUGCACAAUGGGCGCAAGCCUGAUGCAGCCAUGCCGCGUGUAUGAAGAAGGCCUUCGGGUUGUAAAGUACUUUCAGCGGGGAGGAAGGCGUUGAGGUUAAUAACCUCAGCGAUUGACGUUACCCGCAGAAGAAGCACCGGCUGACUCCGUGCCAGCAGCCGCGGUAAUACGGAGGGUGCAAGCGUUAAUCGGAAUUACUGGGCGUAAAGCGCACGCAGGCGGUCUGUCAAGUCGGAUGUGAAAUCCCCGGGCUCAACCUGGGAACUGCAUUCGAAACUGGCAGGCUAGAGUCUUGUAGAGGGGGGUAGAAUUCCAGGUGUAGCGGUGAAAUGCGUAGAGAUCUGGAGGAAUACCGGUGGCGAAGGCGGCCCCCUGGACAAAGACUGACGCUCAGGUGCGAAAGCGUGGGGAGCAAACAGG